CAACCUGCCCACCACUUGGGGAUAACCUUGCGAAAGUAAGACUAAUACCCAAUGAUAUCUCUAGAAGACAUCUGAAAGAGACUAAAGAUUUAUCGGUGAUGGAUGGGGAUGCGUCUGAUUAGCUUGUUGGCGGGGUAACGGCCCACCAAGGCGACGAUCAGUAGGGGUUCUGAGAGGAAGGUCCCCCACAUUGGAACUGAGACACGGUCCAAACUCCUACGGGAGGCAGCAGUGAGGAAUAUUGGUCAAUGGACGAGAGUCUGAACCAGCCAAGUAGCGUGCAGGAAGACGGCCCUAUGGGUUGUAAACUGCUUUUAUAAGGGAAUAAAGUGAGAGUCGUGACUCUUUUUGCAUGUACCUUAUGAAUGAGGACCGGCUAAUUCCGUGCCAGCAGCCGCGGUAAUACGGAAGGUCCGGGCGUUAUCCGGAUUUAUUGGGUUUAAAGGGAGCGUAGGCCGGAGAUUAAGCGUGUUGUGAAAUGUAGAUGCUCAACAUCUGCACUGCAGCGCGAACUGGUUUCCUUGAGUACGCACAAAGUGGGCGGAAUUCGUGGUGUAGCGGUGAAAUGCUUAGAUAUCACGAAGAACUCCGAUUG
rnacentral:rRNA from 1 species